UACAGAGGUCCCGAGCGUUGUUCGGAUUCACUGGGCGUAAAGGGUGCGUAGGUGGUGAGGUAAGUCGGAUGUGAAAUCUCCGAGCUCAACUCGGAAAUGGCAUUGAAUACUAUCCCGCUUGAGGGUCGGAGGGGAGACUGGAAUUCUCGGUGUAGCAGUGAAAUGCGUAGAUAUCGAGAGGAACACCAGUGGCGAAGGCGAGUCUCUGGACGACUCCUGACACUGAGGCACGAAAGCUGGGGGGAGCAAACAGG
rnacentral:rRNA from 1 species